CAAACGCGAAAUGUGUUAUGACUUGCAAUCUUUGCGAAUCAUCCAAUCUUUGAACGCAACUUGCACCGGCUAGAUUUUUACUAGUGGGUAUACUUAUUUGAGUAUAGUGAUUGAUAUCACGAUAUUAUUUAUUGUGAAUGUGGGAUGUGCGCACACUGUGUGCUCUCCUUGAAAACAUGAUUGCUUUGAUGUAUCACUGGAGCUACACCAUUACUUGGGAUAAUGUCCCAUCAAGUGAAGGUGUGUGCAAGUGGGAUAGUCACGUUGCGAUCAAACCGAGGUAUGGGGGAGAUGCAUCCUUCUCCCCCCUCCUCACCAUACAACACAUACCUGUCUCAAAUUAAGUAAGAUUACCCGCUGAACUUAA
rnacentral:misc_RNA from 1 species